GCAUUGAGAUGUCGUAUGACUGAUGGAGGAAAGAUUCUGCAUUUCUUUUUCCAAGUAAGAAUGCGCUUGCUCUCACUUGCUUCAAUACGUGUCUAGUGAUUCACGUGAAACAGAGAAAAAGAUAGACUGCCCUGUUAAUGAACAUGAGAUUGCCCAGUAUCACUCUGACAGAAGAGUAUGGUGUUUCCUUGAUAUGGUAUCUGGUCAGCAAUGUCAUUGGGACCAAAUGAAAGUUACUGCAGAUACCACACAGAAGCAAUUACUGUUACUGGAAUACCAGUAAUGUUUAUUAAAUUCAGUUGUAAAGUAGUUCUGGGCAUUGCAGCUGGUGAGCAAUGUCAUUGGGCACCAAAAGAAGUUCAGUUAUGAUGGAUUUCUGGCCUUCAGUCCAUGGGAAAAUUCACACCAGAUUGCAUCAAGACUGUUAUAUUCCAAGGAUAUCUUGGAAGAUUGAUAGUAUUCCUGAACGAAAACAAUCCAUAUAGUAUUUCACGUGUGUAUCAAACUGCCAUUUGUUGUGGCACAUAAAUGUUUGCAACUUGAUUGUAAUUUUUGAACAGUUUCUCAACAAUCCAAGAAUUUCUUGUAAUGAGAAGUAGACAUUGUUGCUUGGGUAAAGGAAAUACAAAUCACGGUCAAUAUAACUACCUUAUUAACUUUCCACAGAGAAAUAUUUUUCACUACUGCUACUUAAAAAUUCAAAUGUGUGACAAAGUUUGCUUACAGAACUUGGCAUAAAGAUCUCCCUUACUUGUAUUUUUUAGGUAGCUCUUAUUGUUUGAUCCUUCAAAUGGAAUGCUAUGACCUCCAUGUGAUCUAUUCCUUAGUAGUUAAUUAUCCAUUAAGGCACAAAUAUAUGAACAUUACAAUGAGAGGGGUCUUUAUGCCAGGCCCUGUAAAAGUAAUGGCAUCUUACUUAAUAUUAUUGUUGGGAAUUUGAUGGCACAGCUGUGGGGAGACCACAAAUUUCAGGGUUUGCUAACUGCAAAUCUGGCACACAGUUGCUGAGUGAUUCAAGUACUUUUCAUAAUGUUUCACUGUUGAUACAGUUGUAUGUGAGAUUAUAAACCUGUUUGAACAACACCUUCACUUCAAAUUGCUGCAAAGAAAUGGUUACGGUAUCAGUGUGAUGCUCUAUAUGUGUUUCCUCAACUGUGUCCUCAUUGCUACCGUCUUCUUGUGAAAUUACUGCGGACACACUUCUGAAACCAAACCUGUACAUCUUGUGAAGACAGAUUAAUGGGCUAUUCCUGCAGCUUUCUGGUAUUUUAUCAAAACCCCACUCUGGAUAGAAAAUAAAGAUUGCACAGAAAUGCUUGCAUGGGUAUUUAUAUAUCUCAAAAUCUUCACAUGCGCAGUUUGGUAGAGCAAAGCUUACAACAUAAUUAGUCUUUCAACAUUGUACUCUCCAUACAAAACAUUGUCCAAGUUCACAUUCACUAAUCUUGCAGUUAAUUCAACUUUCCCUGGUGCAUAUCACUGCAUGACAUGUUUCACAAACUUGCUUUUUUUAAAAAAAAA